UUCACAAUAUUUUCUUACAAGUUCAUCAUAUUACAUGAAUCCUACAAGUACAAUCCUAAUGAACAAUCAAAGCUCCAUUAACAAGCCAAGCCAUGCGCUCAAAGCUUCAUCAAGAAUCCAAAUUCAAGCAUUCCAAUAAUUCAUUCCAAAAAAAAAAAGAGUUCAACAACACAUGAUAACAAAUCAAUAUCAUAACAGAAGGUUUCAACAUCACUUUCCAAUUCCUAAUAGAACCUUCAACUGAAUCCAACAAUUCAAUACGUUUCCAACCCAA
rnacentral:lncRNA from 1 species